GUGAGUGACCGUCUGCUUGUGCGCUUUGUUACAAGUGAUGUGCAGAACUGUUUUUCUGUGUCAGCUUUCCUUCGCCUCGUAUCUCCGAGCGGGGCGAGAGCGCCCAGGAGGGAAGCCGAGGCUGUGCAGGCCGUGGGAGCCCCUUAGAAAAGGACCCGGAUGUGGAGCUCGAGGGGCCUCUGCGCCUGCGCCCGCCGCUUGGUUGCACUGACGGCCUUUGAGCUCUGAGUCCGCAGAAACCGCGGGCGGCAGGGUCUUGCCAACUUGGCCAGGCUGGGCUUGAAGUUGGGCUCUUCCUGCCUUCUCCCAGAGUGCUGAGAUUGCUGAGAUUACAGGGCUCAACAGUCCCAAGGCCUGGAUGGUUCUCCUAGCAGCUGGACUCCCUGGAAUGGUUGAUUUGUUGGCCCGGUCACCAGAUAUCCUGGGACGGUGAAGAUGAGAGGAUAUGGCUCUAGGGAGCUCUUCCAGUGUUUGCCUAGGGCUGAAAAAGGAAAAUUGCACCAGGCAGUGAAGUCAGCAUGGAAGACUAUUUUUAAGACUACUGCAAUUGAGGGAUUGAAUUCGGGACCUUGUGCUUUCGAGGCAGGUGCUGGAACCACUGAGCUAAAUCCCCGGCCCCCGCCAUGAUGUUUCUGCCUCACCACGGGCUCAGAAGCAAUGAAGCCAGGUGACCAUGGACUGAAACCUCUGAAACCAUGAGCCAAAAUAAAUCUUUCCCCCUUUGCAUUGUUAUUUUCAAGUGUUUUGUCACCUGACUAACACGGGGAUCACAAGUGAGGGGAUUCUUGCUUACCUUGCUCAGCAGCCUGACAAACCAAUAAGGAGGUCUGGCUCAGAAGACUCAAGUAAAAUCUGGCUGAAGAGGGAGGGAGUCCUUGUCAGCCCCUGCCUCAUUCUACAUGCAAGACGCUGGGACUGUGUCUGUUUGCUCCUGGGAUCCCUGGCCUCCUGGACUGUGAGCUUAGGCCAGUGAUAUCUCUUUAUUUUGCAUAGUGCUGACUGUAGGUGAGUCCUUAAAGGCUGCUCACUCCCUAACACUUUGGGAGACAAAAUUGCAUUGUAGUUAAGAGCACAGGCUGGGCCGGGGAUUUAGCUUAGUGGUUCCGCAGCCUGCCUCGCAAGUACAAGGUCCCGAGUUCGAUCCCUGGUACCAAAAAAAAAAGAGCACAGGCUUAGGAGCCAGGCCUCAUGGCACAGGCCUGGAAUCCCAGCACUCUGAGAAGCUGAGGCAGGAGGAUCAUGAGUUUGAGCCCAACCUGGGCGACUCCAGUGACUUACUGAGACCCUGUCUCAAAACCAUUGGAAGAUGAGAGUUCUACAGAAUAAAAUAAAUAGGCCUUGGAAUCAGAACCCAUUGGUUCUGCUUGUUAACUGAAUAACUUUGGGCAGGACACUUGAAGACACCUUCUUCCUAGAGUGGUUAACUUUUAGUGUAAUUAUCGCGGUUCACUAAAUGAGAGCUACCAUGAGUAUCAGCAUCAUUGCUCCUCCUGAAGCCACCCCAACAUCCCCUGUAUUACAGCUAGUGAGUAUAAGAGUUUCCUUAGGCUUGUGGGUUGGGAAACAUCUCAGAGGUACUAGCCACCAUAGCACAGCCUUGUUUCUUUCCAUAGAAGCACACUAGCUAGAGCUUCUUUAAUUCACUGCACUAACUAUAAGG
rnacentral:lncRNA from 1 species